AUUGUCUAGUACCACUCAAAUUUCAGAAUUUUUUGGAUAUUGCUAACUAUUUUUCUACUGUUACCAUAUACACGUCCAGGCAAAGCAUGCAAAGAAGACAGCCAGACGUGUUGUGUUACCUCAGGCAUCCAAUCCAAAUCAUCUCACCAGUUCUGAUGACUCCACAUACAUAGGGAGUCCACAACGUCUUAACUUUGGCAACGACUUGGAGUUCGGUUUAUCCUCCACUCAGAAAAUGCAGCUGAUGGAUGAUAAUAGUCAUGGCGUGGCACCCCGAGUGGAUGAAAUCAUGGCAUCCCUUCGUGCACCACUUGGCUGGCAGCACAGUGACAGUUUCAAAGAGGGCCUUCCUGCGGCUAAGCCGAACUCGCAUGACCAUUUUUGCCCAGGAGCUGGCUGUCCUGGUG